UUCUGCAGCCUGGGGGUGCUUUCAGCAAUGUUGAUCAUUGUUUACCUGUAGCACAGAGUGGAUGAUCUACGUAAGAGCUUCCACUGACAGGCCCAGGAAGGUUUCCUGUGCAUUGUCCAGAUUUUUUCCCUCAGUAAGAUUUUACUCUUCUAAUUUGAACUGCAAACUCAGUAUGAAUGCUUCACCUUUCAGAAUAAUUUAUUUUCAUUUUUUAUGUUGUGAAUUUUAGAAACAGCUGAUGAGAAGAUGCUUAAUCAGUAAACAAGAUGUGGCUUCACUCAGUAGACAAAAUGAGAUUCUGUUUUCCAUGAUAUGCAUCAAAAACAUAUCACCAAAGUUUACGUAGAACUGUGAAAUGGCUAAGCCUGAUGCUUCGAUGGGAUGUUACAGGUGCUGAAUUGGCAAAACUGAAAAGGGUGGUUCAUGGGAUUCAGGUCUUCGAAUCCCCGCGUAAAUCUCAUUAAAUGUUCAGCUUCAGAACUACUUUCUGUUUUCUACUCCAUCAUUUCCAGUAAGUCAAAGGGUUCAAGUCUGGAAGAUGUGUCAUCAGAAGAGAUAAGACAGGAGAAAACUAGAAAAGCACAAUAAAGAAGGUGGUGGCUGUUCAUUUGUAAGGACUUUGAAAACAAGCAAACAGACAAUAAGCAAAACCAGCUUUACCUUUCCAUAAAUCCAAGGUGGUUGUGCUUUAACUGCAGCUGGCAACUCAGCCCCACAGAGCUGCUCACUCAGUCCCCUACCAGCACCAUGGGGUGGAGAAUCAGGAGGGUAAAAGUGAGAAAAGUCAUUGGUUGAGAUAAAGACAAUUUAAUAGGCAAAGCAAAAGCCACAUGCACAAGCAAAACAGAAUAAGGAAUUAAUUCACCACUUCCCAUGGGCAGGCAGGUGUUCAGCCAUCCCCAGGGAAGCUGGGCUCCAUCACAUGUAAGAGCGACUCAGGAAGACAAAAGCCAUAACCCCAAAUGUCCCCAGCUUCCUUGUUCCCCCAGCUCUAAGUGCUGAGCAUGAUGCCAUAUGGUGUGGGAUAUCCCUUUGGUCACUUGGGGUGACACACAGCUGACCUGGCUGUGUCCCCUUCAGACUGCUUGUCCAAACCCAGCCUGCUCACUUGGUGGAGUGGUGUGAAGAACAGAGAAAGCCUGGACACUGAGCAAGCCCUGCUUAGCAACAGCUAAAACAUCCCUGUGUUAUCAACACCAUUUCCAGCACAAAUGCAAAGUAUAGCCCAUACUAGUUACUGUGAAGAAAAUUAGCUUUAUCCCAGCCAAAACAAGCACUGAGGCCUAAAAUACUGUGGUUGCCCGGGACCAUAUUUUUUGGUUCUUUUUAUCAGCUCACUGACUUCUACAUUUGUGGAUUGGAAGUGCCCAUAAUUCCAGGUGUGGCUGCUACCUGAGCCACGCAUAAUCAUCUAGACUCAAGAUUUGCACAUAAUCCUCCUCUUUGAUAUACAACCAUUAAUACCUUUGAACUUUAUGGUAGUGGAGCUGCACUGCAAAUUUUAUUUGGUCGCUUGCUGUUCAAGGGGAGCCUACUGGCACAGGAAUAGGCUGCACAGCCUGCUCCAGCUGCACAAGGAACCAGGCUCAUGGGCUCUUGUCCUGCUGGGGGACUUCAACAAUUGCAACAUCUGGGAAAGAAGCAUGGUGAACUGUAGGAAAUCAUUCCUGGAAUGCAGGGAGGAUGACUUCCGAAGCCCAGUAGUAGGCAGCCCUACCGGAGGGGAUAUGAUACUGGAUCUGAUGGUCACCAACACAAGCAAACCACUCAGGGACAUCAAGAUUGGAGUCAGCCUGUGCUGCAGAGAUCACAAACCAGUGGAGUUUGCAUUCCUGAGGGAUAUGGGUCAGGCAAAGAGUCAGGACCCUGAAUUUCAGGAAAGCUAAAUUACAGCCUUUCAAGGAGUUAAUCAAUAUGUUCCCCUGGGAAACUGACCUGAGAGAAAAGGGAGCAGAUCGGAGCUGGCAACUCCUUAAAAAUGCUCUCCCAUAGGGCACAAGAGCCAGCAAUCCCCAGGUAUAAGAAAUCAGGGAAGGAGGGCAAGAGACCAGCAUGGCUGCGUUGGGAUUUGCUGGUCAGGCUAAAGGGCAAGAAGGAAAUGCACAGAUAGGGGUGGCAGGCACAAAUAUCCUGGGAAGAGUAAAGGGAUGUUGCUCAGUUGUAUAGGGGUGGGGUCAGGAAGGUCCAGGUGCAGCUGGAGCUGAACUUGGCAAGAGAUUCACAGAGUGGAAGAGCUUCUAACAGGCAUGUCAGCCAGAAAAGGAAGAUCAGAGAAAGUGUACACACAUACACACCCACAGAGAUAAAUAAUGCUGGCAAACUGGUAACAGUGAAUGAGGAGAAGACAAUUUUUUUGCUUCUGUCUUCACUGGUAACCUCUCUUCCCUCCUACCCUCUCUGGAGGGUACUGCAAGGGACGAUCAGGUUUGGAAGUACCUGAGGAACUUGAAGAUACAUCAGUCUACAAGACCUGAUGAGAUGCAUCCCAGAGUUUAAGGGAUUGGCUGAUGUACUUGCCAAGCCACUCUCCAUGAUGUUUGAAAAGUCAUGGCAGUCAAGUGAAGUCCCAAGUGACUGGAAAAAGGGGACUAUUGUACCUCAAGAACACUGGGAAUUAGCAACCUGCCAUCCUCACCUCUGGAUCUGGAAGACCACAGAACACAUCCUCCCAGAAGCUAUACUAAGGUACAUGGAAGACAGGUCCCUUCCAACCCAAACUAUGCUAUGAUUCCAUGAAAAAUGUCACAAUAUGGAAGAAGGUCAGCCUUGGCCUGCAUAUAUGCAAUGCAUGCACUUUUUCUAACUACUCUGUCUCUGGUACUUCCUGCAAACCUUGCACUGAGAUCCAGGCCUUGCCAAAACUGGAGAGCAGCAGCUACUUCUUCACUUACCCCAUCUACAUCUGCAGACUCUGCAGAGAACAAACCAGGCAUUUCUGAAUAAAGUAUUUCCAAUGAGCAUGACUGGAAAUUAUGUUAAAAGUAUCCUAACAUGUGCGCACCAUGUUAGAAAGGAUAUAAUUCAUUGACAAAUUAAAAGUAUUUAACCAGGUUUUUAAAAAGAAAACCAUGUUUUUACACACUGCAGAGAGAGUUCUUCCCCCAAAAGACUGCAGUAUGGGCACUGAUACAGGAAAAUUGUCACAAACUUCUUUUUUACACUAUAACCACUAAGGCUGCUACUCUGGGUAAUUUUAUUUUUGUUGUAAGGCAUUCUAGCUACCUGCAUAUUUUCAAGCCAUGGAUACACAAAGCGACAUGAGAUCUUUCACUGCUGGCUCACCUGGAGAUCAAUCUGUCCCCCUCGGCCACUGAGCAGUGUUUCUGUAAGAGCCCUUACCUCUGUGUCACUGCAGUUCUUUCCACAGAACCCUUUCUGGAAGUCCAUCUAGAAACCACUGUUUGCAGGGCAGGUAUGCUUACCUAUCUCAACAGGCCUCCAGUGCUUCUGGCUCUCCAGUAGCCAUUUAAUCUUCAGGACCUCAGGAGACAGGAAUUGAGCUGUUUCAGAGCAGAUUCCCCAAACUGUCUUUGUUAAACUUAUUAUUGUGUGCUAAGGUCCAAGGAUCUUUUGCAGCCCGGCCAGAGAUUUCUGUAGCGUGCACAGGCUCAGCUCAGUGCCCUCUGUAACACAGAAGCACAGGGAAAAGAAAUACAUGACAAAUUAAUGAUAUUUGUUACUGGCAUUGUGUUUAUGAGACUGCUGCCAGUCCCUUUACAGUCUGCUGCUGUUGCAAACCAAGCCUGCUGCUAUUAUCUUUGUCAGUCCAGAGAAGGUGCAGCACCACCAGUCAGUUUUUCUAACCCACUGGGGCAAAGGGUGGGUAUUAAAUCUGUCUCUACCCAGGGAUGGAUAGUGGUAUUCUGCAGUCUGCUGCAGAAGACAUUGUGGCCCUGUAGGUGGUGAUGUUAAAGAUUUCCCCCUACACUGAGUAGAGGGAGAGCUGCAGCUACAAAGAGCAGCUGAGGCAAACAGGUCUAAUUAAAGAGUAAUUCAGUGAGGAAUAAAGCUCCAAGACUUACUGAGUUUCCAUUUUGGUAGAAGAAAAAAAGUACAACUUCCAAAUAUAUCAGAUCUACUUGCAUUAUUUCAUUAUUAGUAAUUAGGAUGUUCUGGCAAAGCAGACCAAGCCUUUAUUAGCUGAAGCAGCAGUUCAGCAGCGGCUGGAGUUUUAUUGCUCAUUGAUUAAGCAAUAGAUACAAGCUGAACCAGUAGCCUCAUGUGAAGGGUAUUAGAGCUGAAAGCCUGGCAGAUUUGUGUGAAGACUUAUAGCCACGGGACAGACAGAUCUAUAUAUAUUGCCCAGGGUAAAGCUGCAUGAAUGACUCUGAAAGGAGAAGGUUGCUGCAUCAUGGCAAAUAAUUGUCAAUUUAUCUUAGCGUGAAAUCUUUUUACACCUCACAUAAAAUAAGCCACUUUUGUGGGAGGGUUCAUUCAAGAAUAUUCCUUUUCAGUGCAAUGAUGGGGUUAAGUGCUGCCUUUUGUCUGGAAAAAUGGACAGUCAUUCAGUGAACUUUGGAGAAAAACCUUUCCUUCCUUUGUUAAUCCCUGCUCUGACAGAAAUAUCGAGCAGGGACCUGAGGAAGCAUCUUGCCAUGGAUGCUGACACCCAGUCUUGCACCCACUGUCUGCACAGCCCCUAGACAGGAGCUCUGAAAAAACCAGUCCUGCUGUCCCCAAAUGUCAUCCUUGCCCCACUGCCUAGAAAUAACAUUUAUGUAGAAGAGCUGGAAGAAGAAAACCUUUGUUCCUGAUCUGGUGCAGGCACACUUGUUUAAAUCUCUGAUGAAGAUUAAUUUUCAGUGAUAUGUCUGCUCUGGCAUUGCUGUGGCUGAGGUGCAAACAUUUUAUUGCUGACACUGCUGUGAGAGAACUAAUCUGCAAAACAGAGCAUCCUAAGCCACAGCAGCUCUUUGCCUCUGGGAACGUGAGUCAGGGUGCUUAGAUUGCACUGGUUUCUAUUAAUUGCCUGCUUAACUCCAAAGAGCCAGACAUGUCUAUUUCAUUUAAAAUUACAUUUCUACAAACUUAAAAUAGAAUAAAAUAUAGGUUAUAACAAGAGUUACCUAAAAACUCAUUGGACUUCAUUUCCCUCUGUUGCACUGUGAUGUGAGAAUGAAAUUAUGGAACCACACACAUAAAAGAGCUUCUGCUGAACAUUUCUUUUGCCCAGCAUUCAGACCUUGUAUUUGACAUGAAUGUCAUGGUCUUUACUGAAAAAAUCUUGCCCAAAAAGUUCAGGCUCUGUCUUGCACAAGCAUAAAAUUAAAUUAUAAUGAACACUUCAUAAACUAAUAAGCUUACACUGUUUCCUGCUUCUUUUUCCUAAAAAUAAAGCCAGGAAAGCAAAUACCCAUUUGGAUGUAAAAAUGGGUUUGAGAUAGCUACAGGAGAGAUUUCCUGGGAAAACAGAGGCAUCUUCUUCUUUUUUUGUCAGUUAAUUUUUCUUUCAUAGAAACACCAUAGUUGGGGGCAGCUAUAGCAGAAAACAGUUAUUGAGAUCUGCUUUGUUUUUCAGAGAACGUGUGCUCUUGGUCAGUAACACUCAGGACUUUUAUUUCAUGCUGCAAAAGCAGCCUGGAUGGAAGCUGAGCAGGGAGGUAGAAAGCAGAUAUUUUCUCCAGUUCCAGUUUGUUGGUUAUUGCAUGGCAAUCAGCAGAUCCCAUUUUGCCUUAUGAUUUAAAAGUGAAAUUCUCCUUGAGUGGAGCCUAAUCUGUGCUUGAGUGUAAUGAAUGACCUGUGCAAACACAGGCAGAAGAACUUCCCACUGCAAGAAAGAGCCUCCCAUGAGCUGUUAAGAGAUGCAGUUAUUGAAAUCAAACACUGGAAGCAAUUUUUAAAUGCCCAGAGAUGGGUUAUUCAAACUUUGAAAGCCCAGCUUCACUACAGUGUGGCAUAGUCACUGAGUGUUGCAGAGUGGUGUGAGAAGGCAGAACACUUCUCUGCAACAAUCCCAUCUCCUGGGCCAAACAGAGGCUCUCCAGGGCACUUGUUUUACAGUGAUUUAGGGCAUGAGCCCCAGAGCAGCACAAGCUGUGUUUAAUUUUAUUUCCUGAAGGCACAGACUGAAGCAAUAUUAGAAGCAGACUACACUGGCCUGUAGAAAACUCACGGUGCUGGAUUUUUUCUUUUUUUCCA